CGACUACUUCCGGGUUAAAACGGGAACACGGAAAUGUACUGUAAUAUAUUAAAAGCCAUGUGUCCUCUUAUAUACGUGAACCUCAGCGAUAACUUUCUAAAAUGAAGGUAGAUGGAUCUGUAGGUUGGGUGAAGCUAGCUAAUAUUGAGUUCUUUGAGUAUUAUUUCAUGGAUGUAGCAAUACUGAAAUAGCGGUUUCACUGUCAGACAUCAAAGAUGAUCAUGCUGGAUUUAACUGAAAAAUUCUCACCUUUUCUUGGUAUAUAUCGAGCUAACCAUGGUACUUAGUCUUAGUUAUCGACCUACUCAUCAAACUCUGUUUUUGUACAAUUAAGUAUUUAGCAUACACACGAUGCCUGCUGGACUAGUACUAGCCUUUAUAUUUAAAUUAUAUGAAUUGUUGCACUAAUUCAGGUUGACAGUUGUCCGAAUCAAUGGAGGUUUUAAUUAAACUAAACCGCCUUGGAUGUGCAGUAAGACUGCACAAAGGAGCAGCGAGACGUCAGGGUUUGCAUUCUGCAUCGGGGGGAAAGGACUUUCCCCCUAUUAGCCGACUUAAUGUACAACAGGCUACGGUCCUCUGGGAGCAGCAGUUUCGACAAUGUGGGGUCCCCGAGCCAUACCUCUCAAGCCAGUACAUCAUGGCACACAUUCUGGGAGCCAAGACUAUGGCAAGCCUGGAUCCUGUCAUAAUGACAAAGGAGCUGACAGAUGUACAGACGCACCAAUUUUGGGAGCUCUGUUCAAAACGUCUUGCAAGGAUGCCAGUGCAGUAUGUUAUUGAGGAGUGGGACUUCAGAGAUCUGACGCUGAAGAUGAGGCCCCCCGUUUUUAUCCCACGUCCAGAGACAGAGGAGCUGGUGGGCCUGGUACUGGCCGGGUUCCAGUCAAGACAGGAUAGCACGGUGCCAGGUCUGCGGUGUCUGGAAUUAUGUUGUGGCUCUGGAGCCAUCUCCCUCAGUCUGCUCCAUAGCCUUCCUCAGCUCAGUGCAGUUGCAGUGGACAGGAGUCCAGAAGCAGUGAAUCUGACUCAGGAGAAUGCCCUCAGGUUAGGGCUUCAGGACAGGCUAGAGGUUCGGCAACUGGAUCUGACUGUGGAUAGAGCGGUGCUCUUGAAAGAGUGUGGUCCAGUCAACACCCUGGUCAGUAACCCCCCAUACCUGUUCUCCCAGGACAUGGCAUCCCUGGAACCUGAGAUCCUUCGGUUUGAGGACCCAGCUGCACUGGAUGGAGGAGCAGAUGGCUUGCAGAUCAUUGGACAGAUACUUACUCUGGCUCCACACCUCCUAAAAAAUGGGGGGUAUGUCUGUAUUGUAUGAGUGUAUGUGUGUGUUCUGUGUUUGAGAGCAUGAGCAUAUGUGCAUGAGAAAGAGGGAGAGGGACCGCGUGCGCGUGUUCAUACUACAGGGCUCCAAGAAUGAUCGAGCUAAGAGGCUUUCCUAGUUGUGGUCAGAGCCAAUUAAUGGAAAUACUCAAUCCUGGUAUUUUCAUGGAAGUGGGGAACAUGUUCCUGGGACAAGGCUCCUGCCGUUACUACAGGACUGGCACAAAUUAUGGAAACACUGCCCUCAUAAACAGAGUUUGACGAUUAAUGCAAUUAUUGCAGUUUAUCUUUUUGGCAUAAUACAUGUAAUAUGUAAUAAAUGUAAUAUCAAUAUAUAAAACAGAAAUAAAUAAAAACAAUUUGUUUUAAACAAGUGAUAAUCAUUAUAACAUCCAAUAUAAUGUAUUUCUUUGUACAGAAUUUUUCUACAUAAAACGAUAAUAUUCAUGCAAUGAAAGCCUUUUCUUUUUUAGGCUUGUAUACUUUAUUUCAAAUUACUCAGGGUUGCAUAAUGUCAUUACCACUUGUGGUCAUAAAGAUAACUGUUUCAAACACAUUUUUGCAGACAAAAAUGGCUCUGAGAAACAACAACAAAACAAUGGCCCAGAUCAAUGUUUUAAGAGUAUUAAACUUCUUUAAGCGCAGUGUUUCCGUAAUUUGUGCCCGUAGUCCGCCCGUCCUGUUGGCAUACAUGGUGAUAUUGAAAAGCUAGCAGACACUCUGUCAUGGUAAUAAUCAAGAAUUCAUUUGUGUCUAUCAUAACUGGAAUCCUGUAAACCUUGAGCUAUGAAUCCUUAUACUCUGAAGCAUGGCAGUAUGUUCCAGGGUCAGUGGAACGGUGUCCCAGAGUACAUUCCAAACACUAGAUGUCUCAUUUUAAAGCUCUUGGAAUGUAUACAGGAUCCCUAUGUGCUGUACUGUAAUCUACUGUAGAGACAGAGGAUCGCUGGGAUUAUGUGGGAGUGAUUGAGUUGGUGAUGGAGGGUCCUGUGGAUUUGAGGGGAAGAAGGGGGGGGGCUGCAGCAAACACCGGUCAUAAAAAGUAAUUCAAUGAAAAGACUUCUGUAUCUGGAGGUUGACCCUCGGCACCCUCCAGUGAUCCAGCAAUUUGUGGAGAAAGAAAAGAUAGGCCUGCAGUACCUUCAGACAAACAAUGACAUCACAAACCGGCCCCGUUACUGUGUCCUGCAGAGAAGAGGAGCAGAAGACUAAGCACGAAGGAAAAGAGAAUGUCAUCGCUGCUAUAUUCACUUUAUGUAGUUAUUGUUAAUAUUAUUGUGAAUACAUUUUCAUCAACUUGUAAUUUGAACCCAUUGUAGUCCAUUGUUUACUCAUUCUGAGGUUAAUAUGGAAAUUCAGCUGAGGAAACAUUGGCUAAUGCUAUGCAAAUUAAGCAAUUUCUCCAGGUCACUGAAAUUUAAUUGGAGAAUUAAAUCUGUGUCAAAGGGAGGAAAAUUUCAGGAGAGAAAAAGGAGCACUCUGCUGGGUCAUGACCAACGAGGAGGCGGGUACAUUUUGCCCAGUACGUUUUGCCUCCAGUAACAACCCAAAAUGGGUAUGCCCAACUACCAUCCUUACCCCAGCUUAUCUGAGAGGAUUGGUACAGAUCUGGAUUCAGUGCUCGGAGGUAUACGCCACAUACAGCCUGACUGUAAGUGGAUUGUGAGUCAGGGAGAGAAAGUACCUUGAAACAGAAAACCCACUCCUCCCCUCCACAAUCCCCAGAAGUGGGGGUUGAGUAUUUGAGUAUCGCUGGCCACCUUCCAGCUUAGCACCCUUGCCUCCCCCUUUCCAUCCUGUCUCCACUUUGUACUACUCUGUUUUUUCAAUAUGUCUGUCCCUAUUUCUUUGUUCCUCCUACAUUUAGAUUCUAAAUCCUCACUGAGGGUUUAUUUUUUGCACAGUGUCACUAUUAUAGGUCCCUGUUAUAGACAGUGUUGUGAGUUGCAGGACUCUAAAAAUGGUUUAUCAACUGUAUUUAAUAUUGUAAUAGUGAUAUUUUUCUGUAUUGUUAGGGGGUCUACACUGGUUUACUAAUUUCCUGUUUUACCUGAAACAAAAACCUGAAAGAAAAAUAAAAUGGAUUAUAUCACUUGUAAA